rnacentral:misc_RNA from 1 species
AUUUAUAUGUGGCAUGUUGUCAAUAGAUUAAAGUUACAAUUUCACAGUAUGGUCCCUUACUUAUACAUGGGAUGCUUACAGGAAAAUGAGUCCAGCACAAAUGAACAAUUGCCCUGCAUCUAUCCCUACAUAUACAUGGGGUGCUUACAGGAAAAUGAGUCCAGUACAAAUGAACACUUGCCCUGCAUCUAUCCCUACAGACUUGUGAUCACUUUUUCAUACUUUGAUUCGAUCAAUCAAUCAAGAUGUUAACGCUUUUGCUUAUGCAGGUUAGUAAAGUAUGUUUUCGCGUUUCAAAGGGAGUACUUGACGAGUGGAAAACACAAAUAAGAAAAAAGGAAAACAGUCGCUCUUGUGUAGUCAUUCUAUAAUGGUUUCUAGGAGAUGUCAUUUCCCUACAGAAUUUACUUUCAGUCAGCAAGUGGAACGCCCUAAAAAACAGUUUCAUUCUGCUAUAUCCAUCACAACAUUGGUGGUGCUAACGUAAGUAUCAUCCUGCUUCUCCACCAUCUCUAUAUCAGUAUCUCCGUUUAAACUGCAGUGUUUUAUCUCCUCUCCAGGAAUCUCUGAAGGGCUAAUGUCAUGGGAUAUAUUGCUUUCUGUUGUCCUUAAAUUGCUAGUACCCUCGGACACAAAUUCUGUACCUGUUGGAAAAUUGUCAUGUUUUCCCUCAGUAGUGUGAAGCCUACCAUCCCUUAGAAAUGAUGGCACUGGAGAGGGGUUUCCACCUUCGGGCUUCCAAUCUUCUUGAAGUUCACUCCCUGGAGCAUUACCAGGAUUCUGAUGCGCGGAAGAAAGUACUCGUUUCAUCUCUUGGAAAAAGGCCUCCAGUGGAAGGAGGUUCCUUUUUAACGCCAGACUAGCUGGCUGACUUGCUACUGCAUUAAAUGAAUCUUCACCAGAGUCAGAAAGUACCUUGCACAUCUUAUUGUAGAGCUGAGCAACACUCAAACGAUCCACUUCACCAUCACAAGCAAUUUCAGAGAUUCCCUGUGGAGAAAUUGCAAUAAGUUUUGGGAAAUUAUCAACCAUUUCAGUGCCAGCUGCCUCAACACUUCGACUUAGUUCGUCUACAAUCUUGGUGUCACGCUCCAUCUCUUUCCCUGGCAGUUCAUGAGGUUUUCCGCAACCAACAACGUCUCUCUGAUACUCAGCAUUAAUUGCAUUCUCAAGAAGCAUCACCCUUUUCCUUAUAAAUUCAACUUGUCUUCUCUGCAUCUCUCUAAA